AUAACCCACAGCAAUAGUGAUGUGACGGCUGCCUCAUCUGGGAAGAGAGAUCAACUGCAGCCACCUCAAAGAGGUAAAACAUAGAUGUAUAAUAGGAGUGAGUGAGGAGAAGAAUGUAUAACUGGUAUCAUAAGAGGAUGUACAAAGGUUUGUAAGAAACCAAGGACAAGAGCAGAAAACAGUAGGUCACGCUAUAAGGAACCAAGUCUUCUCUUCCUUGCAGAUGGUCUAUCUGCUUCUCUCUGAGCAUCAUCUCAGACGCUGACUGCUUUUUCCGGUUGUUCCCUCUCUAGGCCCAGAUGCUGUCUCAGAAUUUUUUAGAUCAGCUCCCAUGGGUUACUGGCAAUAUCCACCAUGGCCCCUCAGACUCCAACCACCACACCUAUGCAGGUGCUUGAGAAAACACACUCCUUGACCUAAGAAACCAAACUCUGUAGACAUUUAAGGGACUUAGCAAUUCAAAGGAGGGAAGCCAGAAUGGAGAGAUAGGCAAAUUUUACAAAAGCCAAAUUAAUGGAAGAAACAAUAAAAAAUGCAGUAGGAAUGUUUAAAGGGAUACACAUGGAGGAUAACUACAAAAACUGGAGGAGAAGGUGCCUAUGAGAAACAUGAAAUCUAGGGCUUAAGCUCCAAAAGGAAGUAAAAUGAAUGGCUGGUAUUAAAAACAAAGUAGAGCUUGAGUGGCCAAGGCAAGAUGGGUCAAAGACAGAGUGGUGGUCAUGGUCCUGGAGGUGGCAAGGAUGACAAGGACAAGAAAAAGAAAUAUGAACCUCCUGCACCAACUAGAGUGGAGAAAAAGAAGAAAACAAAGGGACCAGAUGCUGCCAGCAAAUUGCCACUGGUGACACCUCACACUCAGUGCUGGUUAAAAUUACUAAAGUUAGAGAGAAUUAAAGACUAUCUUCUCAUGGAGGAAAAAUUCAUUAGAAAUCAGGAACAAAUAAAACCAUUAGAAGAAAAACAAGAGGAGGAAAGAUCAAAAGUGGAUGAUCUGAGGGGCACCCCGAUGUCAGCAGGAACCUUGGGGAAGAGAUCAUCGAUGAGAACACUACAUUAGCAUUCUGUCAUUUGUAGACAAGGAUCUGCUGGAACCUGGCUGCUCAGUCCUGCUCAACCAUAAGGUGCAUGCCAUAAUAGGGGUGCUGAUGGAUAACAUGGAUCCCCUGGUCACAGUGAUGAAGGUGGAAAAGGCCCCCCAGGAGAUAUAUACUGAUAUUGGGGGCUUGGACAACCAAAUUCAGGAAAUUAAGGAAUCUGUGGAGCUUCCUCUCACACACCCUGAAUAUUAUGAAGAGAUGGGUAUAAAGCCUCCUAAGGGGGUCAUUCUCUAUGGUCCACCUGGCACAGGUAAAACCUUGUUAGUCAAAGCAGUAGCAAACCAAACCUCCGCCACUUUCUUGACAGUGGUUGGCUCUGAACUUAUUCAGAAGUACCUAGGUGAUAGGCCCAAACUCGUAUGGGAACUGUUUCGAGUUGCUGAAGAACAUGCACCAUCUAUCGUGUUUAUUGAUGAAAUUGACGCCAUUGGGACAAAAAGAUAUGACUCAAAUUCUGGUGGUGAGAAAUUCGGUGAACAAUGUUGGAACUGCUGAACCAGUUGGAUGAAUUUGAUUCUAGGGGAGAUGGGAAGGUUAUCAUGGCCACAAACUGAAUAGAAACUUUGGAUCCAGCCCUUAUCAGAUCAGGCCACAUUGACAGGAAGAUCAAGUUUCCCCUGCCUGAUGAAAAGACUAAGAAGCGCAUCUUUCAGAUUCACACAUGUAGGAUGAUGCUGGCCGAUGAUGUAACCCUGGACGACUUGAUCAUGGCUAAAGAUGACCUCUCUAGUGCUGACAUGAAGGCAAUCUGUACAGAAGCUGGUCUGAUGGCCUUAAGAGAACGUAGAAGGAAAGUAACAAAUGAAGACUUCAAAAAAUCUAAAGAAAAUGUUUUUUAUAAGAAACAGGAAGGCACCCCGAGGAGCUCUAUCUCUAGUGAACCACAGUUGCCAUCAGGAAAAUGGGAGAUUUCUCCAUCCCUGAAAGGGAUGAGGUUGGUGGAGUUGCCCAGAGCAAUCCCUGUUCCCAUUGGUUUUUAUUAGCAAAACAUCCUGUGUCUUUUGGAGUACGAUGUGUAAGUGCCCACUGGGUGGCCUUCGUCCGUCGGUCACUGUGCAGCAGUCUACUUCUCAACAAAGUGUGCUCUUUCACACACAAAAAAAACAAAGUAGUAAACUGAAAUAUGAAGCAGGAAACUAUCACAUCACAAGGCAAAAAUAAUGAAGAAAUACCCAUCAAUGGUGAAAAUAUAACAGACAUACAGGACAGAUUGAGGAGGCCUAAUAAGUAAAUAGCACUUCCAGAAAGAGAAAAGAACAGAAGCAAUAAUCAAACAGGAAAACUCUGAAGUGAUGAAAGAACUGAGUUUUCAGAUCAAAGGAGCUCACCAAA